CCGUAGGGUUCAACGGGCCCAGCCUCCCUCCAUCCCCCCCAAACCCAGCUAGCAUUCCCCGUUCCGGCGCCGCCGGCGAACACGUGCCCCACCAGCGAUGGCCGCCGCCGCCGCCGACGACGACGUCGCCCCGCCCACCGCCUCCGGCUACCUCGACCCCUCCUACUGGGACGAGCGGUUCGGGAAGGAGGAGCACUACGAGUGGUUCAAGGACUUCUCCCACUUCCGCCACCUCCUCGCGCCGCUCCUCUCCCCGUCCCUCUCGGUCCUCGAGGUCGGGUGCGGCAACUCGCGGCUCGGGGAGGAGCUCCUGCGGGAGGGCGUCGCCGGCGGCAUCACCUGCGUCGACCUCUCCCCCGUCGCCGUCCAGCGGAUGCGCGACCGCCUCGCCGCGCAGGGCACCAAAGGCGUGGAUGUUGUGGUGGCGGACAUGCUUGACCUGCCGUUUGAGCCAGAGAGCUUUGACCUUGUCAUCGAGAAGGGCACCAUGGACGUAUUGUUUGUGGACAGUGGCGAUCCAUGGAACCCCAAUCCUACAACAGUAAAUAAUGUUAUGAAAAUGCUUGAAUGUAUCCACAGGGUUUUGAAGCCAGAAGGCAUAUUUGUAUCAAUUACCUUUGGACAGCCACACUUUCGACGUCGAUUUUUUGAAGCUCCCGAGUUUACAUGGUCUGUUGAGUACAGUACCUUUGGUGACGGCUUCCAUUAUUUUUUCUACACUCUUAAGAAGGGCAAGAGGUCACUGGAGUCCAAUAGUUACCAAAAUAUAAUACCUGCUGCUCCAAGAGUAAAUAUGGUCCAUGAAGAGCUCGAGAGUGAAGAUUUUAUAUUCCGCACAAAUGUAGAGGAGUUGUGAGUGGCAGGUUAACAAGCGGCUGCCGUGAUCUUUGAAGGUUUGAUGGCAUGAAGCUAACACAUCAAAAGAAGGACCAGUCCAGCGCUGGAUGCAGACGAAGCUAAACAAUAUAUGUGGGCAAACGGUCACCGCCGCACCGGAGUCCAACAGCUAUCAAAAUUCAUUGCCUGCUGCUACAAGAAUGAAUAUGGUCCAUGAAUAGCAAGAUACUGAGGAUUUUAAUUCGGCACAAACGUUGAUGAGUUGUAAGAGGACUGGACUGAGGCAGUAGGUUGACAAGAUCUGUGAGGGUUUGAGGAUGAAUCUAACCCAUCAGAAGGGAGACCAUUUCAGGGUUGAUGAGUUUAAGAGGAAGGUUGACAGAUCUUUGAGGGUUUGAGGAUGAAUCUAACCCAUCAAAAGAUAGACCAUUUCGGGAUCUCUGGCGUUUCUGAUCUUGCAAUGAUGUUUGUCCAACC